rnacentral:lncRNA from 1 species
UAGAUUUGGCGGUGGCUUCGCAGGCCCCGAUGGCCAGCCAAAUCAGUUCUUACUUCAUACUUCCGAUUUGUUUAGCAUUGAGAGGCUGUGUGCAAAAAGGGUGCUGGACUUACUUCAUACUUCAUACUUCCGAUUUGGCAGACAAAUAGACUGUAUGGAUCCGUUAAUUCUUGCGUCUCUUUUUAUGAUCUAAAUGUGGAGAUUUGAGUAAGAUUAUGACUUAUAUGAAAUGUACUACAAGAUAUAUUGCCAGUGUCAAUUCUGAAAUUUAGUUUUUGUUGGGUUUUCCUCAUUAACCAGUCACAAAAAGGUGAUGGACUAUACUGUAGAAGCUGACAGAGUUAUCAUGACAACAUAUACAAAUUUAGUACAAAUAUUCUUCUCAUUUGUCUAGUGACUACAAUAUUUUAAUUAUCUCACAAAUGGUAAAAUAUUUACGGUGCCUUUUUAUGCAGGGAACCGUAACCCAGCAAGACUGAAGACUAUAGGUGAGUUGCCUGACCCAUCUAUCCCAUCGGUUCUUAUUUCGUCUGCUCUUGUUAUGCAUCUUGUUAUGAUGCAGAAUUAGUCAUGUCUUUUCGCUACCUAUUCAAACUUUGUAUGGAACUUCGCUGUACUUGAUUUCGUGCGGAUCAACUUGUUUUAGAGGAGUUGGUCAGAAAGAAAUUCUCCAAGUUAGAUUUGUUAUAUUUUCCUUUAUAUAAAAUUGCAUGACUUCAAGUUGCUGUUGCUUCGUCAGGAUCAGCUUUGUGGAGCAAGUUUAUAUAUUCUCCAAGUUGCUGUUGCUUCGUCAGGAUGAGCUUAGGAGUUUCACAGUGAAACCAAGUUGAUUCAUGGUGCAAGUUGCUGUUGCUUUGUGGAGCAAGUUGCUGUUGCUUUGUGGAAGUAUACAUCUUAUCCUGUAGUUUAAUAAUUAUCCGAAAGAGUGUAAGUUGCAGAGAUAUGUUUAAUCUGAAGAGAGAUUCGGAGUAUUUUUAUCUGAGAAAUACUAUUUUGUUGCAGUAUAUUUUUAUCUAAGAAAGUAUAUGUUUUUCUGAAGAAAGAUUUAGAAUAUGGACAGUAUUUUUAUCUUAGAAAGUAU